GACGAACGCUGGCGGCGUGCUUAACACAUGCAAGUCGAACGAAGAGCGAUGGAAGCUUGCUUCUAUCAAUCUUAGUGGCGAACGGGUGAGUAACGCGUAAUCAACCUGCCCUUCAGAGGGGGACAACAGUUGGAAACGACUGCUAAUACCGCAUACGAUCUAAUCUCGGCAUCGAGGAUAGAUGAAAGGUGGCCUCUACAUGUAAGCUAUCACUGAAGGAGGGGAUUGCGUCUGAUUAGCUAGUUGGAGGGGUAACGGCCCACCAAGGCGAUGAUCAGUAGCCGGUCUGAGAGGAUGAACGGCCACAUUGGGACUGAGACACGGCCCAGACUCCUACGGGAGGCAGCAGUGGGGAAUCUUCCGCAAUGGACGAAAGCCUGACGGAGCAACGCCGCGUGAGCGAUGACGGCCUUCGGGUUGUAAAGCUCUGUUAAUCGGGACGAAAGGCCUUCUUGCGAAUAGUGAGAAGGAUUGACGGUACCGGAAUAGAAAGCCACGGCUAACUACGU
rnacentral:rRNA from 1 species